rnacentral:rRNA from 1 species
GACGAACGCUGGCGGCGUGCUUAACACAUGCAAGUCGAACGGUGAAGCAGAGCUUGCUCUGUGGAUCAGUGGCGAACGGGUGAGUAACACGUGAGUAACCUGCCCUUGACUCUGGGAUAAGCGUUGGAAACGACGUCUAAUACCGGAUACGAGCUGAGACCGCAUGGUCAUCAGUUGGAAAGAUUUUUUGGUCAAGGAUGGACUCGCGGCCUAUCAGCUUGUUGGUGAGGUAAUGGCUCACCAAGGCGGCGACGGGUAGCCGGCCUGAGAGGGUGACCGGCCACACUGGGACUGAGACACGGCCCAGACUCCUACGGGAGGCAGCAGUGGGGAAUAUUGCACAAUGGGCGCAAGCCUGAUGCAGCAACGCCGCGUGAGGGAUGACGGCCUUCGGGUUGUAAACCUCUUUUAGUAGGGAAGAAGCGAAAGUGACGGUACCUGCAGAAAAAGCACCGGCUAACUACGUG